rnacentral:rRNA from 1 species
GACGAACGCUGGCGGCGUGCUUAACACAUGCAAGUCGAACGGAAAGGCCCUGCUUUUGUGGGGUGCUCGAGUGGCGAACGGGUGAGUAACACGUGAGUAACCUGCCCUUUACUUUGGGAUAACUUCAGGAAACUGGGGCUAAUACCGGAUAGGAGCUCCUGCUGCAUGGUGGGGGUUGGAAAGUUUCGGCGGGUGGGGAUGGACUCGCGGCUUAUCAGCUUGUUGGUGGGGUAGUGGCUUACCAAGGCUUUGACGGGUAGCCGGCCUGAGAGGGUGACCGGCCACAAUGGGACUGGGAUACGCCCCAGACUCCUACGGGAGGCAGCAGUGGGGAAUCUUGCACAAUGGGCGGAAGCCUGGUGCAGCGACGCCGCGUGCGGGAUGACGGCCUUCGGGUUGUAAACCGCUUUCGCCUGUGACGAAGCGUGAGUGACGGUAAUGGGUAAAGAAGCACCGGCUAACUGCGU